rnacentral:rRNA from 1 species
CGAUGAAGCCCAGCUUGCUGGGUGGAUUAGUGGCGAACGGGUGAGUAACACGUGAGUAACCUGCCCUUAACUCUGGGAUAAGCCUGGGAAACUGGGUCUAAUACCGGAUAGGAGCGCCUACCGCAUGGUGGGUGUUGGAAAGAUUUAUCGGUUUUGGAUGGACUCGCGGCCUAUCAGCUUGUUGGUGAGGUAAUGGCUCACCAAGGCGACGACGGGUAGCCGGCCUGAGAGGGUGACCGGCCACACUGGGACUGAGACACGGCCCAGACUCCUACGGGAGGCAGCAGUGGGGAAUAUUGCACAAUGGGCGAAAGCCUGAUGCAGCGACGCCGCGUGAGGGAUGACGGCCUUCGGGUUGUAAACCUCUUUCAGUAGGGAAGAAGCGAAAGUGACGGUACCUGCAGAAGAAGCACCGGCUAACUACGUGCCAGCAGCCGCGGUAAUACGUAGGGUGCGAGCGUUAUCCGGAAUUAUUGGGCGUAAAGAGCUCGUAGGCGGUUUGUCGCGUCUGUCGUGAAAGUCCGGGGCUUAACCCCGGAUCUGCGGUGGGUACGGGCAGACUAGAGUGCAGUAGGGGAGACUGGAAUUCCUGGUGUAGCGGUGGAAUGCGCAGAUAUCAGGAGGAACACCGAUGGCGAAGGCAGGUCUCUGGGCUGUAACUGACGCUGAGGAGCGAAAGCAUGGGGAGCGAACAGGAUUAGAUACCCUGGUAGUCCAUGCCGUAAACGUUGGGCACUAGGUGUGGGGACCAUUCCACGGUUUCCGCGCCGCAGCUAACGCAUUAAGUGCCCCGCCUGGGGAGUAC